UACAGGGGGUGCAAACGUUGCUCGGAAUUAUUGGGCGUAAAGCGCGCGUAGGCGGCUAUUUAAGUCGGAUGUGAAAGCCCUCGGCUUAACUGAGGAAGUGCACCCGAAACUGAGUGGCUAGAGUACGAAAGAGGGUCGCGGAAUUCCCGGUGUAGAGGUGAAAUUCGUAGAUAUCGGGAGGAACACCGGUGGCGAAGGCGGCGACCUGGGUCGAUACUGACGCUGAUGCGCGAAAGCGUGGGGAGCAAACAGG
rnacentral:rRNA from 1 species